rnacentral:rRNA from 1 species
GACGAACGCUGGCGGCGUGCUUAACACAUGCAAGUCGAACGGAAAGGCCCUGCUUUUGUGGGGUGCUCGAGUGGCGAACGGGUGAGUAACACGUGAGUAACCUGCCCUUGACUUUGGGAUAACUUCAGGAAACUGGGGCUAAUACCGGAUAGGAGCUCCUGCUGCAUGGUGGGGGUUGGAAAGUUUCGGCGGUUGGGGAUGGACUCGCGGCUUAUCAGCUUGUUGGUGGGGUAGUGGCUUACCAAGGCUUUGACGGGUAGCCGGCCUGAGAGGGUGACCGGCCACAUUGGGCCUGAGAUACGGCCCAGCCUCCAACGGGAGGCAGCGGUGGAGAAUAUUGCACAAUGGGCGGAAGCCUGAUGCAGCAACGCCGCGUGCGGGAUGACGGCCUUCGGGUUGUAAACCGCUUUCGCCUGUGACGAAGCGUGAGUGACGGUAAUGGGUAAAGAAGCACCGGCUAACUACGUG